rnacentral:lncRNA from 1 species
CUAGCCUGCCACCUGUUUUUGUAAAGUUUUAUUGGAACACAGACACACUUGUUUUUUCUUGCAAUCUAUGGUUGCUUUUGCACUAAAACCACAGAGCUGAGUAGUUGCAAAAAACUUUAUGGCCCCACCCACUGCCUGAAGUAAAUAUUGGGUUCACAGCUUUUUACUCACCUCUGCUCUAUUGGGAAUCCAAGUUUGCUGGGUGAUACCAGCUUGGAUAUAAAAUCCUUAAAGUCCAUACAGCUGUUAACAAAAAAUGCCUUCUAAAAAGGCUGAUAUCUUUCCUCUUUGUCUAAAGAGCUAUAACAAGAAGUACAAGGAACGUUUAUGUGAUUUCAAUCUAUGGGUUCCCACUUGAAAGGUCAACAACCUUCUAGAACAGAAACGCAGAUCAGAUUCACGACAAACAGCAGAAAGGUAACAAUAGCAACUGUACAAUAGCACCAGCAUUCAGUAACCAAACACUUUUCUGAUCAAAACGAUCAUCUCCAAAGAGACUAAUUCUAUCCUGGGUCUCUGUCAUCAUUUUAAUCUUUUCUUCUUACAAUAGAGAUUCAGCAGUACACCAUCACCUACCUGAUGUAAAACUUAAACGGAGUCAGAUUUGCCCAAACUACCACCAUUCACAAAAUAAACUAGGUACCUCUAUUUCACAAGUGAAAUAGUCCCUUCUACACAACCUAUAAAAUCUUACAUCCUUUUUUCUUAGUUUACCAGGAACAAUGGAUCUACUUAAUCUGUUUCAAUUCCAGAGAUGUUCAGCUUGAUGAGGGCACACAAGACUUUAUAUUUAAAAAGAGUAUUUGAAGGAAAGAUGCCAAAAGUAGAAACCAAGCAACUUUGGUUCAGCAAAAGGUCACAGACCACACAUCACUGAUCUCCAGGAUAAAACAGUUGUUUCAACAAAUAACUUGAAAGAAGAAAGAUGGAAGAGGAGAAAAAGCAAAGACUGAGAGACUUGAGGUGGUCGACAAUAUCGGGACUUUACUUGGCUCCUGAUUAGAAUAUGCUGGAAAAGCUGAGAUGGUAAGAAGUGUGCUCACUCACUGCAAGUUUGCUACAGGGGUUUUAUACUUUGGUGUGAAAAUGGAAUUAGAGUUUAAAGAGCAUUCCCCAUAGUCUAAGGAUGAAUGUUGAAACAUUUACAAGUUGUAUGAUAUGUGAAUUUGUCUUCAAAAAUAAUCCAGGGCAGGGAGAGAGCUGGCAUAAGGAGAAAUGAGAUUGACCACAUGCAAUUAAUGGUUGAAGUGGAUCAAUGGAUGAGAAUUCACUAUAGUCUAUUUUUAGGAAGGUUGAACUAGGUGAAAUCGCUAUUUUUGUUAGCCAAAACGGUCAAAUAAUUUCAUGUUUCAAUCUAAUAUGUAGGUUUUAAGAUUCCUACAGCAAAGAUUAAGUACUAGAAGAUUCUGAAAUAUCUCAAAAUAGACUUAAAUCUAAAAGGAAAAAAGGUCCCAUCAAGGUCUGAAGUUUUUUCUUUUUUUGAGACGGAGUCUCGCUCUGUCACCCAGGCUGGAUUGCAGUGGUGUGAUCUUGGCUCACUGCAAAUUCCGCCUCCCGGGUUCACGCCAUUCUCCUGCUUCAGUCUCCCAACGGGGACUACAGGCACCCACCAC